rnacentral:lncRNA from 1 species
GCUUCUUCCUUUCACGCCGCUGCCAGGCUCUGGGAAGCGAGCACGCCAAACAGGCGGGGAUGCACGUGUGAACAGCACGGCCGGCCCAGCGAUGGCAGAGGCAACAAAAGCAGUUAAGAGAUGAGUUGGUUUCUGGCUUCUGGAAUCUUCAGGCUGAGCUCUGUGCUGUUACCUUGCAAGCAGGAAGAUGUCACAUGAAUUCUGACAGAUAUGUUAUCAGAUGACUUUCUCCACUGACUUCAAGCUGUGCACAGCCAACAGCAGACUGUUGAUUUCCAUAAGUAUGGGUGUUUAAGAAGGUUGAGAACAGUGUGAAAUGUGGAUUUCUAAUGCACCUGGAAAUGCUUUCCUGGCCCUUCCUGCUUCCCAGAAGCACUGCUUGAUUCUAAUAUGCUCGGGGUGAAGUCCUGUGACUUCUAAUGCCAUGCUGAAAGGAAGAAGUCAAGUAAGAUGGAGUUAGAGUUUAGAUGAAAAUGUGAAUAAUGCCUGAAUGAAGUUCAAGUGAGAGUGUGGCUGAGAAGUAGCCCUUCAGAUGCUGUUAGAACUCAGUAUGAAUAUUUAAGUUCAUAGUUAAUAUUCAUAUAGUUAAUAUUGCAAACAAAAUUUGAUUACAGGAUUAAAACACAUAGGAAAACUUGUUUUCUUGUCUAAAUUAGUGUUUAUAAUAAUGCUGGAAGCUGUUCUGCUCACUUUCAAUGCAGUAUUUGUAUAAAUAAAAUCUUG